CGUAAAAGCAAUUGGUGAGAAAAAUUAAAGAAGACUAAAUAGAGAAAUAUAUAUCAUGUUCAUUGAUUGGAAGAUUCAAUUUUGUUAGCAUAUUACCUCAACAGAAUUCUGAUUAAUAUUUCUAGUAGGAGAUUUUAGAGAAAUGUAAAAGCUAAUUUCAAAAUAUAUUUGAAAAUCCAAGAACCUAGAAUAGGCAAGUCGGUCUUGAAGAAGCAGUAAGUUGGAGGACUUACUCUGCUAGACUUCAAACCUGAUUUAAAAGCUACAGUAAUUUAAAAUGGUAGUACUGGUGUAAGUAUUCAUAAAUAUAUCAAAGUAAAAGAAUACAGAUUCAAACAAUAUGACCACAUAUGUAGUUAUUUAUUUUAGUAGAAUCUUUUUUAUUCAUAAAAAAUCCCUCCAAAACGUUUUCCAAGAACACACAGGAGGGCUAUGGGUAGAGGAAGGUGUCUGUCCAUCUAUCCCUGGCCCCCAGCCCAUGUGGUUUUGGCAGCAAUAGGGGUGUGGGGUAAUGUCCCCCAAAAUUAAAAUGGUAUAUGUGUGUAUGAGAAGGAAAGGGGGGCAAAGCUGUGGGGAACGGUUGAGGGGAAGGAACAAAGGAGGUCAGUACUGGGAACGUUAAGUAGGCACAAACAACCGAAAAAUAGAUAAAUGGACUUCAUUAAAAUAAAAAACUUAUAUGCUUCAAAGGACACUGUCAAGGAAGUGAAAAGAUAAUCCACAUAAUGGGAGAACUAUUUCCAAAUUAUAUGUUUGACACAGGUCUAGUACCUAGAGUAUAUAAGGAAUUCAUAUAACUGAGCAAUAAACGACAACCACAU
rnacentral:lncRNA from 1 species